GUAAGGAAUAUUGGUCAAUGGACGCAAGUCUGAACCAGCCAUGCCGCGUGAAGGAUGAAGGUCCUCUGGAUUGUAAACUUCUUUUAUCUGGGACGAAAACGGGAUUUUUAUCUCAAUUGACGGUACCAGAGGAAUAAGCACCGGCUAACUCCGUGCCAGCAGCCGCGGUAAUACGGAGGGUGCGAGCGUUAUCCGGAUUUACUGGGUUUAAAGGGUGCGUAGGUGGGCUUAUAAGUCAGUGGUGAAAUCUCCGAGCUUAACUUGGAAACUGCCGGUGAUACUAUAGGUCUUGAAUUAUCUGGAGGUAAGCGGAAUAUGUCAUGUAGCGGUGAAAUGCUUAGAUAUGACAUAGAACACCAAUUGCGAAGGCAGCUUACUACAUAUAAAUUGACGCUGAGGCACGAAAGCGUGGGGAUCAAACA
rnacentral:rRNA from 1 species